rnacentral:rRNA from 1 species
CGAGUGAGCGGCAAAAGCUCAAAUUUGAAAUCUAGCACCUUCGGUGUUCGAGUUGUAAUUUGAAGAUGGUAACCUUGGGUUUGGCUCUUGUCUAUGUUCCUUGGAACAGGACGUCAUAGAGGGUGAGAAUCCCGUCUGAUGAGAUGCCCAUUCCUAUGUAAGGUGCUAUCGAAGAGUCGAGUUGUUUGGGAAUGCAGCUCUAAGUGGGUGGUAAAUUCCAUCUAAAGCUAAAUAUUGGCGAGAGACCGAUAGCGAACAAGUACAGUGAUGGAAAGAUGAAAAGAACUUUGAAAAGAGAGUGAAAAAGUACGUGAAAUUGUUGAAAGGGAAGGGCAUUAGAUCAGACUUGGUGUUUUACGAUUAUCUUCUCUUCUUGAGCUGUGCACUCGUAUUUCACUGGGCCAGCAUCGAUUCGGAUGGCAAGAUAAUGGCAGUUGAAUGUGGCUUCACUUCGGUGGAGUGUUAUAGCUUCUGCUGAUAUUGCCUGUCUGGAUCGAGGGCUGCGUCUUUUGACUAGGAUGCUGGCGUAAUGAUCUAAUGCCGCCCGUCU